AGAACCAGCGGGGCUCGCUCGGCCUCGCGCCCUCGCUGCUGGGAAGCGCCUCCCGGGCACGGGGGUCCCGGCAGGCCGGCGGCAGGAGGCGCGGCCGGCGGUGGGAAGCGCCGCUGGAAUCGCUGCCGUGCCUCGGGGAUAGCGGAAUCGCCGGCGCUCCCUGGCUGGACCCCGGCAACCCGGGAAACACCUCAAUUUCUUCAAAAAGUCUCAUGACUAUGAAAGAUUAGUUAAUUUCUCUCCUAUGUCCCAAGUUUCAGUCAAUAGCAGCGUCAGGACGUGGUUGUUUCCAUGGUCUCAGCACACAUGGAGCCCUCUGCUGCUGGCAAAUAGCACCUAAGGAACACUGCUCUUCUGCCAGACUGGGGCACUGACCUGUGCUAGAGGGGAACCUUUCUGCUGUGGACAUUUCUGUGCUGAUGUGCUAGAAGAGGGAUACAGGAUUUUUACUAGGAAAUCUAUUUGUGAUGCUCUAGCACACUGUCAAAACUGAAAGACUUUGCAGUGGAUUCUUCAUAUUUGUUCAACAUCCUUGGCUUUUUAUCUUUAUAAAAAAAUACUCUCAAUUCAUUAUGAGGAUUUAACACAGACCUUUUCACCAUUCAUGGAAAUGAGCACUUGAUAUACAAAGUGGGAUAAGAUAAAGGUUUCUAGUUAAAUAUUCUUGGGCUAGAUCUUGUCUAUAUGCUUUUGUGAUAAUGACAAUUAUUUUCCAUUUUCAGCUCCAAAACCAGUUUCUGUAGUUUGAAGAGAAGGUCAUUUUAGUUUCUUUCUGGAACCUUGCUUGUAUGUAUUGGCCCUGGAUUAGUCAGAGGGAUUAGAACACUACUACUGAAACUUCACAAAUGCAACCUAUGUGAAGCCCUUUUUCAGUUGUUUUUUGGAAAUAUUUGCUGAAUUUCUCGUAUUGCUUCUGUCUGUUCAAUAAAAGAAUUGUCUCCAUAA